UACGUAGGGUGCAGGCGUUAAUCGGAAUUACUGGGCGUAAAGCGUGCGCAGGCGGUCUGUUAAGACCGAUGUGAAAUCCCCGGGCUUAACCUGGGAACUGCAUUGGUGACUGGCAGGCUUUGAGUGUGGCAGAGGGAGGUAGAAUUCCACGUGUAGCAGUGAAAUGCGUAGAGAUGUGGAGGAAUACCGAUGGCGAAGGCAGCCUCCUGGGCCAACACUGA
rnacentral:rRNA from 1 species